rnacentral:misc_RNA from 1 species
UCCGGUUUGUCACCGGCAGUCUCACUAAAGUGCUCAAGUUAAUGAUAGCAAUUAGUGACAAGGGUUGCGCUCGUUGCGGGACUUAACCCAACAUCUCACGACACGAGCUGACGACAGCCAUGCAGCACCUGUGUCUUGGUUCCCUUUCGGGCACUUCCAUGUCUCCACGGAAUUCCAAGCAUGUCAAGGGUAGGUAAGGUUUUUCGCGUUGCAUCGAAUUAAUCCACAUAAUCCACCGCUUGUGCGGGUCCCCGUCAAUUCCUUUGAGUUUUAAUCUUGCGACCGUACUCCCCAGGCGGUCAACUUCACGCGUUAGCUACGUUACCAAAUCCUUAAUUAGAUCCGACAACUAGUUGACAUCGUUUAGGGCGUGGACUAC